UACGAAGGGGGCUAGCGUUGUUCGGAAUUAUUGGGCGUAAAGCGCGCGCAGGCGGUCCUUUAAGUCUGAUGUGAAAUCCCACGGCUCAACCGUGGAAGGUCAUUGGAAACUGGGGGACUUGAGUACAGAAGAGGAAAGUGGAAUUCCAAGUGUAGCGGUGAAAUGCGUAGAGAUUUGGAGGAACACCAGUGGCGAAGGCGACUUUCUGGUCUGUAACUGACGCUGAGGCGCGAAAGCGUGGGGAGCAAACAGG
rnacentral:rRNA from 1 species